rnacentral:rRNA from 1 species
AAAUUGAAGAGUUUGAUCAUGGCUCAGAUUGAACGCUGGCGGCAGGCCUAACACAUGCAAGUCGAGCGGUAGCACAGAGAGCUUGCUCUCGGGUGACGAGCGGCGGACGGGUGAGUAAUGUCUGGGAAACUGCCUGAUGGAGGGGGAUAACUACUGGAAACGGUAGCUAAUACCGCAUAACGUCGCAAGACCAAAGUGGGGGACCUUCGGGCCUCAUGCCAUCAGAUGUGCCCAGAUGGGAUUAGCUAGUAGGUGGGGUAACGGCUCACCUAGGCGACGAUCCCUAGCUGGUCUGAGAGGAUGACCAGCCACACUGGAACUGAGACACGGUCCAGACUCCUACGGGAGGCAGCAGUGGGGA